rnacentral:rRNA from 1 species
UACGUAGGGGGCAAGCGUUGUCCGGAAUCAUUGGGCGUAAAGAGCGUGUAGGCGGCCUGAUAAGUCGGCUGUGAAAGUCAAGGGCUCAACCCUUGAAUGCCGGCCGAUACUGUCAGGCUAGAGUUCGGAAGAGGCGAGUGGAAUUCCCGGUGUAGCGGUGAAAUGCGCAGAUAUCGGGAGGAACACCUAUGGCGAAGGCAGCUCGCUGGGACGUUACUGACGCUGAGACGCGAAAGCGUGGGGAGCAAACAGG